CCUACGGGAGGCUGCAGUGAGGAAUAUUGGUCAAUGGGCGGAAGCCUGAACCAGCCAAGUAGCGUGCGGGAUGAAGGCCCUACGGGUCGUAAACCGCUUUUGCACGGGGAUAACACCCUCCACUUGUGGAGGUCUGCAGGUACCGUGCGAAUAAGGGCCGGCUAAUUCCGUGCCAGCAGCCGCGGUAAUACAGAAGGCCCGAGCGUUAUCCGGAUUCAUUGGGCUUAAAGGGAGCGUAGGCGGGCGUUGAAGUCAGCGGAAAAAUCGCGGGGCUCAACCCCGCCCCGCAGUUGAAACUGGCCGACUUGAGUUCGAAAGAGGCAGGCGGAAUUCGUGGUGUAGCGGUGAAAUGCAUAGAGAUACCGAAGAACCCCGAUUGCGAAGGCAGCCUGCCGGGGUGCGACUGACGCUGAGGCACGAAGGUGCGGAUAUCAAACAGGAUUAGAUACCCUUGUAGUC
rnacentral:rRNA from 1 species